GCUAACUCCGUGCCAGCAGCCGCGGUAAUACGGAGGGUGCAAGCGUUAUCCGGAUUCACUGGGUUUAAAGGGUGCGUAGGCGGGCAGGUAAGUCAGUGGUGAAAUCCUAGAGCUUAACUCUAGAACUGCCAUUGAUACUAUCUGUCUUGAAUAUUGUGGAGGUAAGCGGAAUAUGUCAUGUAGCGGUGAAAUGCUUAGAUAUGACAUAGAACACCUAUUGCGAAGGCAGCUUACUACGCAUAUAUUGACGCUGAGGCACGAAAGCGUGGGGAUCAAACAGGAUUAGAUACCCUAGUAGUC
rnacentral:rRNA from 1 species